rnacentral:rRNA from 1 species
CGUAGGGCUAGCGUUAUCCGGAUUUACUGGGCGUAAAGGUGCGUAGGUGGUUCUUAAGUCAGGAGUGAAAGGCUACGGCUCAACCGUAGUAAGCUCUUGAAACUGGGAAACUUGAGUGCAGGAGAGGAAGUGGAAUUCCUAGUGUAGCGGUGAAAUGCGUAGAUAUUAGGAGGAACACCAGUAGCGAAAGGCGGCUUUCUGGACUGUAACUGACACUGAGGCACGAAAGCGUGGGGAGCAAACAGGAUU